UGGGGAAUUUUGCGCAAUGGGCGAAAGCCUGACGCAGCAACGCCGCGUGAGUGAUGAAGGCCUUCGGGUCGUAAAGCUCUGUCAGAGGGGAAGAACCUCCUGUUGGCUAAUAUCCGUCAGGACUGACGGUACCCUCAAAG
rnacentral:rRNA from 1 species